AGCUAAUAGAUACCCGGGUAGUCCACGCCCUAAACGAUGUCUACUAGUUGUUGGUGGAGUAAAAUCCAUGAGUAAACGCAGCUAAACGCGUGAAGUAGACCGCCUGGGGAGUACGGUCGCAAGAUUAAAACUCAAAGGAAUUGACGGGGGCCCGCACAAGCGGUGGAUUAUGUGGAUUAAAUUCGAUGCAACGCGAAAAACCUUACCUGGCCUUGACAUGCCACUAACGAAGCAGAGAUGCAUUAGGUGCCCGUAAGGGAAAGUGGACACAGGUGCUGCAUGGCUGUCGUCAGCUCGCGUCGUGAGAUGUUGGGUUAAGUCCCGCAACGAGCGCAACCCUUGCCAUUAAUUGCCAUCAUUUAGUUGGGCACUUUAAUGGGACUGCCGGUGACAAACCGGAGGAAGGUGGGGAUGACGUCAAGUCCUCAUGGCCCUUAUGGCCAGGGCUUCACACGUAAUACAAUGGUCGGUACAGAGAGUUGCCAACCCGCGAGGGGGUAGCUAAUCUCAGAAAGCCGAUCGUAGUCCGGAUUGUUCU
rnacentral:rRNA from 1 species